ACUGAUCCUAGCCUCAUGCAAUUUCCUUCUCUUUCUUGUGCCACUUCCCUAACAUUAACAUUAUACCAAAGUGUUCACCACAUAAAAGUUCUGAACUUGCUUGAGAGACUAAGCCAGGUUCGAUGUUUUAUGCAUACAGGGCUAACUCUAUCUCCACCAUCAGAGGAUCGACUAAACAGAAAGCUCUAAUACCAAUUAAUCUGUAAC
rnacentral:lncRNA from 1 species